GGAGUCGAGAAUGAAUGGGUUUUCGGGGGUUAACUGUCUCUUUUGGAUUUAGUUGAAAUUUCUAAAAAGGUGCAAAAUCCUUUAAUUCGAAAAAAGACGAGAAGACCCUUAGAGUUUUUAUUAUAAAAAGAUUAAUUCUUUUAUCGGUUUUUGCUGGGGCGGCAAAGAGACAAUAAACUCUCUUUUUACAGUUUUUAGAAGACGUGAAUCUAAAGAGACAAUAAACUACCUUAGGGAUAACAGCAUAAUUAAAUUUUAGUUUGUGACCUCGAUGUUGGACUAGGAAAAAUUUUUGGUUAACCGCCAA
rnacentral:rRNA from 1 species